rnacentral:rRNA from 1 species
GUCGAGGGGCAGCGGGGAGUGAGGCUUGCCUUACUUUGCCGGCGACCGGCGCACGGGUGAGUAACACGUAUGCAACCUACCCUUUACAGCGGGAUAACCGGAAGAAAUUUCGCCUAAUACCGCAUAUACUCCUUGGGAGGCAUCUUCCGAGGGGGGAAGAAUUUCGGUGAAGGAUGGGCAUGCGUCGCAUUAGUUAGUUGGCGGUGUAACGGACCACCAAGACGACGAUGCGUAGGGGUUCUGAGAGGAAGGUCCCCCACACUGGUACUGAGACACGGACCAGACUCCUACGGGAGGCAGCAGUGAGGAAUAUUGGUCAAUGGCCGAGAGGCUGAACCAGCCAAGUCGCGUGAGGGAAGAAUGUCCUAUGGAUUGUAAACCUCUUUUGUCAGGGAGCAAAGUCACCCACGUGUGGGUGUUGGAGAGUACCUGAAGAAAAAGCAUCGGCUAACUCCGUGCCAGCAGCCGCGGUAAUACGGAGGAUGCGAGCGUUAUCAGGAUUUAUUGGGUUUAAAGGGUGCGUAGGCGGGUUAUCAAGUCAGCGGUAAAAUCGUGGAGCUCAACUCCAUCCAGCCGUUGAAACUGAUGAUCUUGAGUGGGCGAGAAGUAUGCGGAAUGCGUGGUGUAGCGGUGAAAUGCAUAGAUAUCACGCAGAACUCCGAUUGCGAAGGCAGCAUACCGGCGCCCGACUGACGCUGAAGCACGAAAGCGUGGGUAUCGAACAGGAUUAGAUACCCUGGUAGUCCACGCAGUAAACGAUGAAUACUAAUUGUGUGCUCCGAAUGAGGAGUGCGUGAUACAGCGAAAGCGUUAAGUAUUCCACCUGGGGAGUACGCCGGCAACGGUGAAACUCA